rnacentral:rRNA from 1 species
GACGAACGCUGGCGGCGUGCUUAACACAUGCAAGUCGAGCGGUAAGGCCCUUCGGGGUACACGAGCGGCGAACGGGUGAGUAACACGUGGGUAACCUGCCCUGUACUUUGGGAUAAGCCCGGGAAACUGGGUCUAAUACCGGAUAGGACUACUUCCCGCAUGGGGGGUGGUGGAAAGUUCCGGCGGUACAGGAUGGGCCCGCGGCCUAUCAGCUUGUUGGUGGGGUAAUGGCCUACCAAGGCGACGACGGGUAGCCGGCCUGAGAGGGCGACCGGCCACACUGGGACUGAGACACGGCCCAGACUCCUACGGGAGGCAGCAGUGGGGAAUCUUGCACAAUGGGCGAAAGCCUGAUGCAGCGACGCCGCGUGAGGGAUGACGGCCUUCGGGUUGUAAACCUCUUUCGACCUCGACGAAGCGCAAGUGACGGUAGAGGUAGAAGAAGCACCGGCUAACUACGUGCCAGCCGCCGCCGUAAAAC